AAGUCGUAACAAGGUUUCCGUAGGUGAACCUGCGGAAGGAUCAUUACUGAAGCAUUUGCAAUGGUUUUGUUGCUGCCUUGAAAAAGGAUUGUGCACGCCAUUCAAUCUUCUAUUUACCCACCUGUGCACCUUUCAUAGACUUACGUUGAAAUAAGUUCUCACUGUAAAAUGUGGAUGUGGGAGCGUAGCCCGUAGCUUGUUCUCAACUCUUGUUCAACUGUCUAUGUCUUUUUUAUAAUACACACUAUUUGAUAUAAAUGAAUGUAUUGCUCUAUGGAUUGAUUUCCAUAUAAAUGUAAAUACAACUUUCAGCAACGGAUCUCUUGGCUCUC
rnacentral:misc_RNA from 1 species